AGAAUGAACGCUGGCGGCAUGCCUAACACAUGCAAGUCGAACGAAACCUUCGGGUUUAGUGGCGCACGGGUGCGUAACGCGUGGGAAUCUACCCCUUGGUUCGGAAUAACAGUUGGAAACGACUGCUAAUACCGGAUGAUGACGUAAGUCCAAAGAUUUAUCGCCGAGGGAUGAGCCCGCGUAGGAUUAGCUAGUUGGUGUGGUAAAGGCGCACCAAGGCGACGAUCCUUAGCUGGUCUGAGAGGAUGAUCAGCCACACUGGGACUGAGACACGGCCCAGACUCCUACGGGAGGCAGCAGUGGGGAAUAUUGGACAAUGGGCGAAAAGCCUGAUCCAGCAAUGCCGCGUGAGUGAUGAAGGCCUUAGGGUUGUAAAGCUCUUUUACCCGGGAUGAUAAUGACAGUACCGGGAGAAUAAGCUCCGGCUAACUCCGUGCCAGCAGCCGC
rnacentral:rRNA from 1 species